GCGGGAGGAAAGGGGGCCGGUAACGGGGGGCGUCGUGGUGAGCAGCACUCCACAACCCAGGACUUAAUUCCCGGUAGCGGGAAGCCGGGGCGGCAGGCUGGCCCGGGCACCCGGCCCUGGGCUGCCUGAGGGGUCUGGAAAUGUCCUCGCGCAGAGAGUCCUGCUCCGACCGGGAGGCGACAGAGCGGCCUGCCUGCGCUCCCGCUUCAUGGUUUAAACUCAUCUCUUCGUCCUUCCUCCACAAGUGAUUCCCAAUACAAGAUGAACCAGUAUGUCACAACAAGAAGGUAGCUGCUGAUUUUUACCUGAUUCUUCAUCCGCAGACACCAGGGUUGUGGACAAGAUCAACUGUUACAAAGACCACUAUCGCAAAGAAGAAGAAGUCCCUAAGGUCACCUAUAAGCCAGUUUUAUCGUGCUCCCGAGCCUGCUGCCAGGUUCAGUCACGUUUGACAAAGAUGUUGAGCUCUGCAAGACUCUAUUUUUCCAAAUGCUACUUGAGCAGAGGGCUGGGCAGAGAAGAAACCCGCAUCAGCUCCACAAAGGACCCUCGGCCCUGACUGGCUUUUAACGUGAUUCUUGUUCGGCUUCCCCCAGCUCUCACUGGGCCGGCGCGUGCCGAACGCAAGGGGGGCGGCCUGCUCCACUCCAUCCCUUCCCUCUCCCCCGGGGAGCUCCCCCGGCCUGCAGGCAGCCCGGACGUCUGGCAUCCAGAGAAGUGGGAAGACAACCAACCCGCUCACAGUCCCAGUUCCAGCUGCUGGGUUCGCAUGUACAGUGUUGGGUACCCCAGCGGUCCUUUCAGCAUGCUGUAGGGAAUUUUGUUUAUAUUGCUGGUCAAGAGAGAGAGUUACAGGCCUUCACAUUCUUUAAUUUUGGCCCAUGUGAGGAAAGCUAGACCUCUGAAAAAUUGUCUGCCUUAACUUAUGUAUAUAUACAUGCAUAUAAAAAAGUAUAUGUAUGUGUGUGUGUGCAUAUAUGCGCGCGCGCACACACACACACACACACACACACACACACACUUUUCCUCUUAUACAGGCAGUGACAGAGGGAAUUCAACUUUUAUAAAAAUAUAAAAAAUGGCUGUGGAGCUUUUGCAACGUUCGGUGGUUCAGAUCAGCCGAGCAAUCAAAGGGCAAGGCAGGGGUAUGCGUGCCUUUUCAUUGCCUGUUAUAAACAAUCAAACUCAGACUUUGCCCCAUGCAGAAGUCUGAGUUAUAAACAAGCUCUGCUGCUAUCAUAUUACCAUCCUGAGGCUGAUUUAUAUAAACUGCCUUUGGAGCUCUGAUUAGGCUCAAAAAAGCAUGUGCCGUGCAGGCAGACCAGGUUGUUGGAAUGCAAUUUUCAGUAACACCUCUCAUAAUUCACAUGCCUGCUAUUGGUGAAUUUCUGCUUCAGAAAGAUGCAAUGCAGUUUCUAAAAUACUUGAGAAGGAAGGCAGUUAAGCAGAUAAAGAUGGACUAGUCUUUUGUCUUUGAAGAGUCUGCGCCUCUAGUUUCUACAUACUGUAUAUUCAGAGGCUGCAAGUUGUCUUUGGCAAAUUGCUGGAGGGACAAAUAAAUGCAUUGUAAUGUUAA